AUUCUACUUAAAAUCAGGCUCAAAUGAACUCGCAAUGAGAAACUUUUGGUAUUCUCUCUGAUUUAUAUCUAGAUUGCUGAAAUGUUGUGCACAGUUUAAUAUCUGCUUUUUCAAAAAGAAACCAUUGAUGGUUCCUGGAUUUUUGUUACUGAAACGUACGCCCGUCAUGAGGUGCUUGGUACCUAUUAUUCAUUUAACAGUUGUUCUUCUUAUUCAAGGCUCAGGCGCUCAGCUACAAGUACAACUAGUGAAUGGAACAUCAUAUUGGAAUGGCCGUUUAGAAAUAUUACACAAUGGAACAUGGACCACAGUGUGCAGCAAUUAUUUUGGAAAAGAAGAGGCACAGGUAGCCUGCAAAAUGCUUGGUUUGGACAGUUCGCGGGCCAUGGCUGUGGGGUCAGGUCAGUAUGGUGAAGGUUCAGGUCUCAUCCUCUUUGGCAACGUCACGUGCACAGGGAAGGAGUCGAGUUUUGAUGAGUGUCAACAUGAUGGAUUUUACAGGCGCGACUGCAGACACAAUGAUGAUGUCGGUAUCAUCUGUAAUAUCAAACCAUUACGACUUCGCUUGACGAGUGUUUUUGGAGACAGAUCAGACAUAAACCGUGUUGAGAUGGAACUCGGAACACAGUGGAACUCACUUUGCAUGACUCGCAAUGCUGCUAAAGUUGUCUGUAGACAGCUCGGCUUAUCACAGCAUGCUGCAUUGUAUAGGAAUGUAUCAAUGCAGAAGGACAUUUUAUCUGAAAAAAACAAGCACUCUGAACUCGAUAUAAAGUUUCUCUGCCUUGGGAAUGAGACAAGCCUUUUGGAGUGCGACCGUUAUGGACCGAACAAAGAUGUUGUUUGCGGAUUAUAUAACAGCGUCAACUGUAAUGAGUCAAUACCUCCUCUUCGUAUCCUGUAUAACGAGGCUUCAUUCCCGCUGCUUGAUGGAGCAAAUUUAACUCUAGAAUGUGAGAUCACACAGUCUGGGGAAUUAGAAUUUACAUACCUGUGGUUUGAGUAUUCAAGGAUACGUCUUCAGAGUCAGUAUGGAAAGUACCUAAUAUUUAAUAAUGUGACUAAAGACCAUCAUGAACUUCGAGUGUACUGUGGAGCCAACUAUUGGUACAAUGGUCUCCAUUACCUUGUCGCAAGUGACGUCAUGAUAAUUACGGUUUGCUGUACCCCGUCGACAAUCAUGCAUAACACAGAACCGACCUCUGUGUAUAUCCGUGACGACAAAGGUUAUCUAACGAUUGAAAUGACAGCCUAUCCCAUCCCUCAAGUGACAGCCACUAUGUACCUUGGUCCAGUUCUGACUGAUGGUGUCAAAGGUGAAGAUACAAGCAACACGACACGUGUAAUAUGUGCUGAUGUCGGUCUGGCACGUGCAUCAGUGUCGUGUAACAUCACUGUCUUUAACAUAUCACAAGCUGCUGAUGGCUUCUACAAAAUUGUUUUCGACAACAAACUUGGGCAGCUGCCUUAUAUAUUCACAAUCAGGCGUCAAGAGCGCAGAGGAGAAAUACCAUCGGCAUUUUUGUUGACUUUUGUCGGCGCAUUUGUUGUUGGCAUUGUUAUCUUCGCUUCUGUAACAGUCUACUGCGUCAGACGUUGGACAGGUAAGUUAAUUAGGCUUGUGGUUUGAUUACAAUGUCUGUGUUGUCAUUUAGGAACAAAUUUCACAAGUUACUGGAUAUUUCAAACUCAGCUUUUAUGCUUUUUAAUCAACAAUGGAUCACAAGCGAAACAGGAAAACGAAAAAGUCCGGUUUAAUUUAAAUAUUUCUUGUUGCCAUUGUCGAGCAAUACUCCGUUGACUUAAAUUGGAACGGCAGCAAAAACUUCUAUGUACAGAAGAAAAUACACUUGUUGCUUAAAGGACUUCGACCUCUAUACAGACUGUGGGCAUCUUAUGAACCAGUUUGGGGAGUAUUGACUACUGUUCCUGUGCAUCUCUGGGGUCUUGGUCGUCUGGAGCCGGUGCCGGACCACUGUCGCCUGAGAUCGCCACCGCAUCUGUCGUCCGUUGCCUGGGGCAACCAGAGAGGUAGCGGUGCCAGUGAGCUAGGGACAGUGCGUUUGAAGACUCA
rnacentral:misc_RNA from 1 species